rnacentral:lncRNA from 1 species
AUAUUUUUAAGAAAAUUUUAAAAUCUAUGUGUUAACCAAUACGAAAAAUAUUGAGUUUUUGGUAAAUGCUAUAUAUACUGAAACCUAUAAUCUUUAGUGUUGUUUUAAAAUUUUGAACCACAUUCUACAUUUGUAUUAAUGUAUGCCAGACUCUAUUUCAUGGUACAUGAGGAUCGUUCAAUAUUUUUUAGAAAUUAUUUUACUUAAACUUCUUAUACUCCCUAAAUUAGUGAUCUAACCGUUGUUAGUAAAACUUCUUAUAUUCCCUAAAUUAGUAGACUAACCAUUAUAAAAUCGCUAUUUUCUAAUGAAAUGAAGACAACAAAGGUUCCAAAACCUCUUUGACCAUCAUCAUAUAUUAGUACAUGAGACAACUAUGCAUUAAAUCAAUAUUGUUAUAUUUUUUGAAUUUUUCUCAAAAUCUAUGUGUUAACCUCCUACGAAAAUAUUGAGUUUUACGUUAAACGGUCCAUAUACUGAAGCUUACACUUUUUAGUGUUGUUUUCUAAUUUCUAACCACAUUCUACAUUUGUAUUAAUGUAUGUUAAACUCUCUUUCUUGGUAUAUGAGAAUCGUUAUAAUUUUUUUAUCAAUUAAUUUUGUAAGACUUUAUAAUAUUCCCUAAAUCGGUGGAAUAACCACUAUAAAAUCGCUAAUUUCUUGAAAAACGGAGACAAAGAAGCCGCCAAACCUAUUUGAACAUUAUCAUAUGUUAGUUCAGGAUGUAACUAUGCAUUAAAACAAUAUUAUCAUUUUUUCGAAUUUUUUUUCAAAAUCUAUGUGUUAACCCCCUACGAUAAUUAUUGAGUUUUUGGUAAAUGCUUUAUAUACUGAAACCUAUAAUCUUUAGUGUUGUUUUAAAAAUUUUAACCACAUUCUACAUUUGUAUUAAUGUAUGCCAGACUCUAUUUCAUGGUACAUGAGGAUCGUUCAAUAUUUUUUAGAAAUUAUUUUACUAAAACUUCUUAUACUCCCUAAAUUAGUGCACUAACCAUUAUAAAAUCACUAUUCUCUAGAGAAAAGAAGACAACAAAGGUUCCAAAACCUCUUUGACCAUCAUCAUAUAUUAGUACCGGAGGAAACUAUGCAUUAAAUCAAUAUUGUUAUAUUUUUUGAAUUUUUCUCAAAAUCUAUGUGUUAACCCAUACGAAAAUAUUGAAUUUUACGUUAAACGGUCCAUAUACUGAAGCUUAUACUUUUUAGUGUUGUUUUCUAACUUCUAACCACAUUCUACAUUUGUAUUAAUGUAUGUUAAACUCUCUUUCUUGGUAUUUGAGAAUCGUUAUAAUUUUUUUAUCAAUUAAUUUAGUAAGACUUUAUAAUAUUCCCUAAAUCGGUGGAAUAACCAUUAUAAAAUCGCUAAUUUCUUGAAAAACAGAGACAAAGAAGCCGCCAAACCUAUUUAAACAUUCUCAUCUGUUAGUUCAGGAUGUAACUAUGAAUUAAAACAAUAUUAUCAUUUUUUCUAAAUUUUUUCAAAAUCUAUGUGUUAACCUCUAUGAAAAUAUUAAGUUUUUGGUAAAUGCUAUAUAUACUGAAACCUAUAAUCUUUAGUGUUGUUUUAAAAUUUUUAACCACAUUCUACAUUUGUAUUAAUGUAUGCUAAACUCUAUUUCAUGGUACAUGAGCAUCGUUCAAUAUUUUUUAGAAAUUAUUUUAGUAAAACUUCUUAUACUCCCUAAAUUAGUGCACUAACCAUUAUAAAAUCACUAUUCUCUAGAGAAAAGAAGACAACAAAGGUUCCAAAACCUCUUUGACCAUCAUCAUAUAUUAGU